GGUUUGGCUGAGGUGGGAAAGCCUGUGUAGAUGCAGGCUGGUGGAGGUCAUUCGUUGAGGAGUCCCUUGAAAGCCUUCCCAAGGACAUGUAACAUGCAAUCAACUUUCCUUUUCUCUAGAUCAGCCAGUACCUUUGCAGUCAGACAACGCUGCUUUGCCAGCCGAGGCUCGGGGUGAGCUCCUCUCUGCCUGUACGGAUUUUGAAUGUUACCAUCACACCUGAUAUUUUUCCCCAAAUGAAGAAUCACUGUAUCUCUGUCUUCCGUGCAGAAAUUUCUGCUGGAAUGAAGAAAGAAAAUUUUGCAUAAGGACUGUCACAAAGAAAAAUGAGUUUAAGAGGUAGAAGAUCAAAACUUACUAAAAAGGUCUCUUACUGACAUUUUGAGAUUUGACAGAACUGCUGGUAAAAAACCUGUAAGCCAAUAUUUCCUUCCAAAGGACAUCAGGCUAUCUGAGACAAAAAGCUCAUACUAAGAAGAGAGCCAUAUAAUUUGAAGGUCACAAAGAUGGCGAUCAACAAGCCAGCAGAAUUAUAGAUGGAGCUGUUCUGUGGUGUUUGAAAUGUGUCCAUGCAUUUCCUGCAUAAUUGGAUCCUACCUCAUAAAGGGAAAAUUUUCUUGGAAAGAUGCGAUGCCAGUUCAAAUGUCAUUCCUCUAUGCCACAAAAUAAUGUAGCUGCUCCACAAGAAUAGAGGUCCUGCAGAGCAAGCAGUGUCAGGACUGUUUUGAAAGUGAGAGCACUGCUAAGAUGAGACUUCUGUCGAGGGAAAAACGGAGAGCAUAAUUUUUGCUUAAAGGCAAGAAUAUAUAAUGGCAUUUCCCCCCUUUAAUCUGAAACCUGGAGAGAAAAACAACAGCAUUUUGAAAAAGAGAAUGGAUAAAGAGGAGUGAGAAUAACUGCCAGUGGUGAGAUGUUUUCAUGACAAGGAUAAAUAGUAAGCUGAGGAAGACCACAGAAUGUGGCUUGGAGAUGCCUUGAAUAGGCUUUCUUCAAAGUGUUUAUUUCUUUAUUUUGCUUAAUUCCUUCAGAUUUAUACCUGUGUGUUUUGAUUUACUGGCAAAAAAAAAAAAAAAAAGAUUGUAGAAGCCAAACCCUUGUUGUGCUCUAAACUCAUCUCACUACAUUGCUGUUUGGGGAAGAGUGUGUUGCCCUCACAAGACAGUGUAGAACUGACUUGCAGUUACCUCUGUAUCCCUGACAAUUCCCUUGAGCACAGACAUAGUCUGUGAAAACUGUGGAUCUUUCCUGUGAUAAAACUUCAAAAUUCCACUUGGGGUCUAUGAAGCAAUAUUUAAUUUCAAGAAAUUGAAACACUUCAUUCAGAUUUGGACUCUUUUCAUUUUAUAUUAUUAUGAUAUGAAAAAUAGUGGAAACAGAGGAAUAUCACCAGAGGAAACUAGUAUCAUUCUAUUUUCUGUGCUUCAAUACACACCUUAAAUAAUUAUUCCAUGAGGGUUUUUUGUUUGUAGGGGGCAUAUAGGGGGGUUUUGGGUGUUUUAUUUGGGGAGGUGUUUGUUUCACAUUUCUAAUGGACUUUGCAGUGCAGACAUGUAUUUCUGUGUCUGGGGAUCUGUGAAAAAUGAUUCCCAAAAAAUUAAUUUUCAAACAAUCAUUAUUAUUUUAGUUCAAAAA